AAGUCGUAACAAGGUAACCGUAGGUGAACCUGCGGUUGGAUCAUUAAACAUUUUGUAGGUUUCAUUUUGAUUUAGUUGAGAACUUUAUUGAUCUCCUAAAGAAAAAUAAACCACUUAAACACCUUUGUGCACCUUAUAAAUGUAUAGAAUUGAAUCGUAAAAAAAUUCUUUCUAUAUAUUUUUAUAACCCAAUACUUUUAUUAGCCUGAGAUUUUUUUACUAUAAAGUAAUCAAAAACAACUUUUGACAACGGAUCUCUUGGCUCUC
rnacentral:misc_RNA from 1 species